rnacentral:rRNA from 1 species
GACGAACGCUGGCGGCGUGCUUAACACAUGCAAGUCGAACGAUGAAGCCUAGCUUGCUAGGUGGAUUAGUGGCGAACGGGUGAGUAAUACGUGAGUGACCUACCUUUGACUCUGGGAUAAGCCUGGGAAACUGGGUCUAAUACCGGAUACGACCAAUCUCCGCAUGGGGUGUUGGUGGAAAGCGUUAUGGAGUGGUUUUAGAUGGGCUCACGGCCUAUCAGCUUGUUGGUGAGGUAAUGGCUUACCAAGGCGACGACGGGUAGCCGGCCUGAGAGGGUGACCGGCCACACUGGGACUGAGACACGGCCCAGACUCCUACGGGAGGCAGCAGUGGGGAAUAUUGCACAAUGGGCGCAAGCCUGAUGCAGCGACGCCGCGUGAGGGAUGACGGCCUUCGGGUUGUAAACCUCUGUUAGCAUCGAAGAAGCGAAAGG